rnacentral:rRNA from 1 species
AGGGUUUGAUUAUGGCUCAGGACGAACGCUGGCGGCGUGCUUAACACAUGCAAGUCGAACGGAGUUAAUUAGACGGAAGCCUUCGGGUGGAAGACGGAUUAACUUAGUGGCGGACGGGUGAGUAACGCGUGAGCAACCUGCCUUUCAGAGGGGGACAACAGUUGGAAACGACUGCUAAUACCGCAUAAGAUAGCAGCUUCGCAUGGAGCAGCUAUAAAAGGAGCAAUCCGCUGAAAGAUGGGCUCGCGUCCGAUUAGCUAGUUGGUGAGAUAACAGCUCACCAAGGCGACGAUCGGUAGCCGGACUGAGAGGUUGAACGGCCACAUUGGGACUGAGACACGGCCCAG